CUUGAUCGACCCCAACCGGAGCGGCUCGGAGCGGUCCUGCCCGUAGGUGGCCAGCAGCGCCUGGGCCUC
rnacentral:antisense_RNA from 1 species